UGUGUGUUUUGUCAAAUCCAAUA
rnacentral:siRNA from 1 species